GGGCGCGUAACUCAGCGGUAGAGUGUCACCUUCACACGGUGAAAGCCAUAGGUUCGAUCCCUAUCGCGCCCA
rnacentral:tRNA from 1 species